UCGGGAAUUUUGGGCAAUGGGCGAAAGCCUGAUCCAGCCAUGCCGCGUGUGUGAAGAAGGUCUUCGGAUUGUAAAGCACUUUAAGUUGGGAGGAAGGGCAGUAACUUAAUACGUUGCCGUCUUGACGUUACCGACAGAAUAAGCACCGGCUAACUCUGUGCCAGCAGCCGCGGUAAUACAGAGGGUGCAAGCGUUAAUCGGAAUUACUGGGCGUAAAGCGCGCGUAGGCGGUCGUAUAAGUCGGAUGUGAAAGCCCUUGGCUCAACCAAGGAACUGCGUCCGAUACUGUACGGCUUGAGGCUGGUAGGGGGUAGCGGAAUUCCCGGUGUAGCGGUGGAAUGCGUAGAUAUCGGGAGGAACACCGAUGGCGAAAGCGGCUACCUGGGCCAGAUCUGACGCUGAGGCGCGAAAGCUAGGGGAGCAAACAGGAUUAGAUACCCGUGUAGUCCCUGAGCGGGCUGGCAAGGCGCAU
rnacentral:rRNA from 1 species